rnacentral:lncRNA from 10 species
UUCACACACACACAUCUUUUUAUUAAUCUAAUAUAGUUUCAAUCCACAUCAAUCUAAGUAAAUUUUCCUGGACAUUUUAAUCUUUCAUCCACAAAUGCUAGAAGACAUUUUGUUUCUCUCAAGUACUAAACAUCUGCAAUAUGCCAAUCAGUGUGCCGGGCCCAAUGGGGAAAACAAAUACAAAUAAGACACAAUUUCUGCCCGUCAAAUAGCUUGCAAUUAAGCUGGGGAGAUGGAUGAGGUGAUACAGCACAAAACAGGCAAAAUAGCAGCAAACAAUACCACAUUCUAUCUAACUGGGGGCUACCUCAUGUGCUCCAGGAAUUCUGAAUGGAAGAAACAGUAAAUUUGGAAGACAUAUUUUAGAAACUGGGCCUUAAAGGAUAUGUAGGCUAUAGAUAGUUGAGAGAAAGAAGGAAAAGCAUUCCUUGUGGUCAAACUACAUGAGCAAAUGCACAGAGAAGAAACAGUGGGCAGCCCACCACAUGAGGAAAAGGCCCUUCCUAUAAAGAAGGCAGCAAAAUUUGGGUGGAUGGUGCAGUCGUCAAAGGACACAAAUGCCGGACAAGAGCAUACUGCUUCUCAGGCCUUUAUCAUCUCGGUGACUCCCUGAUGGAUAUGCUUAAGGUCCCUUUUCAUCUAUUUGAAUAUUGAUGUCAAGUUUCCACAGCUUAGUGGCCUUGAAAACUCCAGAUGUGAAUGCAAAUUCAGUAAGCCCUUGAAUGCUUUUCAAUUAGUGCUCAGGAUGUUUCCUGGAUGGGGGUCUGUGGAUGAAGUCACUCUUAACCUGUCUGGUUUGCUGAACUCAGCUAUGCUAUCCCAACUCUAAAAUGAAGAAUACCUACCUUAUAGCGAAGUCAUGAGGACUAAAUAAAAGAGCAAAGAUCUUUGUAAUUUCUCAAGCAUUAUACAGAGAAGCGGUGGAAGUAGUAAUGCCUUUUGCAACCUAUGUCCUGGCCCUUUAUUUAGGCAUCAAAGCAGCUUGCUAAACUCUCAAAGCACAGCACCAUUUGGAGAUAAAAAUUUAAGUUAUGGUCUACAAAGUCCAACGUGCCUUCCAUAGGACUCACGGGUAACACUUUUUUGGGUUUUGUCAUCUGAUGGAAGGUUGGGGGACAGAUUGGCAAUUGAAGCUCCACGAUGGUAUUUUACUGCAUGAUUUUCCAUUUUUGUGUUCAAAUUACAACUUGACUUUAAGCAGAGGACCUGUGCUGAUUUAAAAUACUUACUCAGGUCGGGCAAUUGGCUCACGCCUGUAAUCCCAGCACUUUGGGAGGCCGAGGUGGGUGGAUCACUUGAGGUCAAGAGAGAGACCAGCCUGGCCAACAUGGUGAAACCCUAUUUCUACUAAAAAAAAUUACAAAAAUUAGCCAGGCAUGGUGGUGGGUGCCUGUAAUUCCAGCUACUCGGGAGGCUGAGGUGGGAGAAUCACUUGAACCCGGGAAGCAGAGGUUGAAGUGAGCAGAGAUCGCAGUGAGCAGAGAUCAUGCCACUGCACUCCAGCCUGGGUGAUAGCAUGAGACUCUGUCUCAGAAAAAUACAUAAAUAAGGCCCAGCCGGGCGCAGUGGCUCACGCCUGUAAUCCCAGCACUCUGGGAGGCCGAGGCGAGCGGAUCACUAGGUCAGGAGAUCGAAACCAUCCUGGCUAAAAC